rnacentral:ribozyme from 1 species
GCAUCUCUCCACACACACACCAACUCACCCUACAUCUUCGGCUAAAAUUUGUAACAGUAUGAAAUAUUAUUAUUAUAUCAGUAUGAUGCAAUCAGUGACCCAUUUGGUGUACUACCUCUCUCUCU